CCUUACCUACCCUUGACAUGUCCGGAAUCCUGGAGAGAUCUGGGAGUGCUCGCAAGAGAACCGGAACACAGGUGCUGCAUGGCUGUCGUCAGCUCGUGUCGUGAGAUGUUGGGUUAAGUCCCGCAACGAGCGCAACCCUUGUCAUUGGUUGCACCAUUCAGUUGGGCACUCUAAUGAGACUGCCGGUGACAAACCGGAGGAAGGUGGGGAUGACGUCAAGUCCUCAUGGCCCUUAUGGGUAGGGCUUCACACGUCAUACAAUGGUUGGUACAGAGGGUCGCCAACCCGCGAGGGGGAGCCAAUCCCACAAAGCCGAUCGUAGUCCGGAUUGGAGUCUGCAACUCGACUCCAUGAAGUCGGAAUCGCUAGUAAUCGUGGAUCAGCAUGUCACGGUGAAUACGUUCCCGGGUCUU
rnacentral:rRNA from 1 species